rnacentral:rRNA from 1 species
GACAGAGGUCCCGAGCGUUAGGCGGAAUCACUGGGCUUAAAGCGUGUGUAGGCGGAUCGUUAAGUGCCUUGUGAAAUCCCAUGGCUUAACCAUGGAACUGCUUGGCAUACUGGCGGUCUUGAGCCACUUAGGGGCAACCGGAACAAAUGGUGUAGCGGUGAAAUGCGCAGAUAUCAGGAGGAACACCGAUGGCGAAGGCAGGUCACUGGGCCGCAACUGACGCUGAGGAGCGAAAGCAUGGGGAGCGAACAGG